GACACCAGCAGCUAGCCCUAGCCCGUCGUCCUCCCCAACCCUGCCUCCGCGCCGCCGCUGCUGGUGACGGCGUCGCCACAGCCGUCGUCGUCCGCCGCCGCCAAUCGAUUCCCUGCUCGGCUGCCUCUUGGUGUGCUACUGCUGCCAAAUUCCUGUUGUUGCUGCUGCCGAUCCGAUCUUUUAAUUGCCGCUGCUGCUAAUGCAUGGCUUGAUGCCUUGAUGUGCUGCGAUCUGGUCUCUUCAUCGCUGCUGCUGCUGACUGCUGCUGCUGCUGCUGACUGCUGCUGACUGCUGCUGUUAGGGAGGAGAAGGGCGCAGGAGAGCAGGAGGAAGAAGGAAUUUGGGGAUUUCGGUCAUUUUGCAACUAGCGGGUUUGUUCUCAAAUUCUAGUAUCCACGCUGCAGCGGUACUUUUGGCUACUCCCUAGAAGUAUAAGAUUCAAAUAGAAAUUUAUUCGAUAGUCGUUUGUGC
rnacentral:sRNA from 1 species